rnacentral:rRNA from 1 species
AGCCAGUGGGGGGGUGCUUACACAUGCAAGUCGACGGUAAGGCCCUUCGGGGUACACGAGUGGCGAACGGGUGAGUAACACGUGGGUGAUCUGCCCUGCACUUUGGGAUAAGCCUGGGAAACUGGGUCUAAUACCGAAUAGGACUCCGGACUGCAUGGUCUGGGGUGGAAAGCUUUUGCGGUGUGGGAUGGGCCCGCGGCCUAUCAGCUUGUUGGUGGGGUGAUGGCCUACCAAGGCGACGACGGGUAGCCGGCCUGAGAGGGUGACCGGCCACACUGGGACUGAGAUACGGCCCAGACUCCUACGGGAGGCAGCAGUGGGGAAUAUUGCACAAUGGGCGCAAGCCUGAUGCAGCGACGCCGCGUGGGGGAUGACGGCCUUCGGGUUGUAAACCUCUUUCAGCACAGACGAAGCGCAAGUGACGGUAUGUGCAGAAGAAGGACCGGCCAACUACGUGCCAGCAGCCGCGGUAAUACGUAGGGUCCGAGCGUUGUCCGGAAUUACUGGGCGUAAAGAGCUCGUAGGUGGUUUGUCGCGUUGUUCGUGAAAACUCACAACUCAAUUGUGGGCGUGCGGGCGAUACGGGCAGACUGGAGUACUGCAGGGGAGACUGGAAUUCCUGGUGUAGCGGUGGAAUGCGCAGAUAUCAGGAGGAACACCGGUGGCGAAGGCGGGUCUCUGGGCAGUAACUGACGCUGAGGAGCGAAAGCGUGGGGAGCGAACAGGAUUAGAUACCCUGGUAGUCCACGCCGUAAACGGUGGGUACUAGGGUGUGGGUUUCCUUCCUUGGGAUCCGUGCCGUAGCUAACGCAUUAAGUACCCCGCCUGGGGAGUACGGCCGCAAGGCUAAAACUCAAAGAAAUUGACGGGGGCCCGCACAAGCGGCGGAGCAUGUGGAUUAAUUCGAUGCAACGCGAAGAACCCCACCUGGGUUUGACAUGCACAGGACGCCGGCAGAGAUGUCGGUUCCCUUGUGGCCUGUGUGCAGGUGGUGCAUGGCUGUCGUCAGCUCGUGUCCUGAAAUGUUUGGGUUAAGUCCCGCAACGAGCGCAACCCUUGUCCUAUGUUGCCAGCGGGGUUAUGCCCGGGGACUUCGUAGGAGAA